CCUACGGGGGGCAGCAGUGGGGAAUAUUGGGCAAUGGGCGCAAGCCUGACCCAGCAACGCCGCGUGAAGGAAGAAGGCUUUCGGGUUGUAAACUUCUUUUGUCAGGGACGAAGCAAGUGACGGUACCUGACGAAUAAGCCACGGCUAACUACGUGCCAGCAGCCGCGGUAAUACGUAGGUGGCAAGCGUUAUCCGGAUUUACUGGGUGUAAAGGGCGUGUAGGCGGGGAAGCAAGUCAGAUGUGAAAACCACGGGCUCAACCUGUGGCCUGCAUUUGAAACUGUUUUUCUUGAGUACUGGAGAGGCAGACGGAAUGCCUAGUGUAGCGGUGAAAUGCGUAGAUAUUAGGAGGAACACCAGUGGCGAAGGCGGUCUGCUGGACAGCAACUGACGCUGAGGCGCGAAAGCGUGGGUAUCGAACAGGAUUAGAUACCCCAGUAGUC
rnacentral:rRNA from 1 species